rnacentral:misc_RNA from 1 species
GAUGAAGAACGUAGCGAAAUGCGAUACUUGGUGUGAAUUGCAGAAUCCCGUGAACCAUCGAGUCUUUGAACGCAAGUUGCGCCCGAAGCCACUAGGCCGAGGGCACGCCUGCCUGGGCGUCACACGUCGUUGCCCCCCCCCCAUCUACUCCUUCGGGAUUGCGGGGGGCGGAUGAUGGCCUCCCGGGCGCCUAGCCGCGCGGUUGGCAUAAAUACCAAGUCCUCGGCGACGCACGCCACGACAAUCGGUGGUUGCGAAACCUCGGUUGCCCGUCGUGUGCGUUCGUCGCGCAUCGAGGGCUCGAAAAAAUGCUCGGCUCCGGCUCGGCUUUCAACGCGACCCCAGGUCAGGCGGGGUUACCCGCUGAAUUUAAGCAUAUCAAUAAGCGGAGGA